UACGAAGGGGGCUAGCGUUGUUCGGAAUCACUGGGCGUAAAGCGCACGUAGGCGGAUCUUUAAGUCAGGGGUGAAAUCCCGAGGCUCAACCUCGGAGCUGCCUUUGAUACUGGGGAUCUCGAGUCCGGGAGAGGUGAGUGGAACUGCGAGUGUAGAGGUGAAAUUCGUAGAUAUUCGCAAGAACACCAGUGGCGAAGGCGGCUCACUGGCCCGGAACUGACGCUGAGGUGCGAAAGCGUGGGGAGCAAACAGG
rnacentral:rRNA from 1 species